rnacentral:lncRNA from 1 species
CUGGAUUCUCCAGCUGGGCCCAAUGGAAUCAGAAGAGUCCUUCUAAGUGAAGGAGGGAGGCAGGAGAAUCAGAGUCAGAGUGAUGCAUCGUGGGAAACACUUGACUGUCCAUUGCUAGCUUUGAAGAUGGAGGGAGGGGCCAUGAGUGGAGGAAUGCUGGCCUCUAGAAGCUGGAAAUGGCCGAGAAGUGGAUUCUCCAGAGGGAACACAGCCGUGCUGACACCUUGAUUUUAGCCUGAAGGACCGAGGGAAACUUCCGAUCCUGUGGCCUUUAUUAUCUACAACCAAGAGGUCCAUGAUAGGGGAACCAAGCCCCGUGAGCCAGCCUGUGUGGGGAGCCAGAGAAGUGGCACGGGUGUGGGCCCAAAAAGCAGCCUCAGGUCACUUCCAGAGCAGUCCCGCUGAGAGUCGUGACCGAGGUGCGGGCUGUUCAGCCUGCUCAAGGUUCCAGAGGAGCUCACGGGAAGCCAGACAUCCUGGGGGGUCCAGAGGAGGAUUCAUCUGUCAGAGAGCUUCUGCCUGGCCUCCUAAGACGCUGAGGAUGUCCAGGAGGCCGCUGGCUGCUGCUUGCAAGGCGGGUGGCACUGUGUGCAGAGUCUUUCCACAUUCUCACGAGACGGCCCCAGCACGGUCCCAGCAUCUGAGCGGGCAGAGAAGAUUUUCCUUCGUCCAUAGAGAGCAGGGCCAGGGGAAGUAAGAAGAGGGCUGGGGAUGGGCUGGGGGUCUUGUCGCUCCCCCUGCAUGUCCCCCGUUUUGGUUUCCUUUACGCCAAACAGCCCAAUGUGUGAUCCACCAGUGUUGCUCUGCUUGAAAUCCGCCCAGGGCUCUCAUUCCCUUCAGGGCAAGUCCCAGUGCCUGAGUGGGCUUUCGGGACCCUCUGUGACCUGUCCCCCUGCAGACCUUUUCGCCACCACCCCCUCCUUGCACUUUACUCACACUGAAUUGUUCAGUUUCCCACAGACACUCUUGCCCACGAGGUUCACUCUCUGUGAAGCCCACAUGCUGGGCACUUGACCAAACCCUGUCGGGCUCCCCGAGGUGAAUCAGACACGGAUCCUGCCCAAAGAGCACGGUCCAGCUGGGAAGACAAGAUGGGGACUUCCCCA